UUAACGUUACGAUAUAAAUAUGAUAGUUGUUUAAAAUUAUUUUUUUAUUGGUAUUAUUCUGAAAAAAUUUAUUUAUUUUUUCUGUUUUACCAUUAUGUAGUGUGCUAUUAUGUCUGAAUUCAGUCGUGUAAAGUGGCUUGAACAAGACAAGGUUUACUCUGACACUGUUCCUUUAAGUUGGAUUAAUGGUAAAGUUUUGAGAUGACCAAAAAAAGUGCUGAAAAAAAGUUAAGGGACCAGGUUGAACCUCAAGAUGAUUGGUUUAAAUUUCAAGUUCUCAAAAUUAAAUUAACUGAUAAAAAUUGUAUGACUUGCCAUUCAUUUAAUAUUACAAGUCAUACUGACUAUUGUGAUUUUGAUUUUAAAAAAGAUAUGUCUCAAGUUGCAAAAAAAGAAUUCCAGUAUGAAGUCAUCAUGUUACUGUGUGAAAUUAAAACAUGUUUACAAUGUCAACCCAAAAGUACAUUGUCACAUAAUUUAAGUGCGGAAAUUCCAACUCAUUUCUUGACAGUAGAAGAUUUGAAUGAAUUUAAACUUAAAAUGUUAAACAACUCUCACGUGUCGGUGGAAAGUCACCUAAAUAUAUGUUUAAGGACCUAAUUCAAAGAUUGAUGUCAAAUGAGCUUCAGACAAAAUUCAACAUGAUUGGUUUAAAUGGAAACCUUAAGUUUGAAAAUACUUUGUUGUAUAAUGUAAUAAGUAGCGAGUUUGUUUAUAGGUUGUUUUUUUUUAAAUAACAUUUUCCUAAAUAGCAUUAUUGCUGUUACAAUAUCUGGCAGACGUGUAUUUUAGACACCCCCUUUAGUAAGUUCGUAAAAAACGAACUUUAUACGAACUUUCUAAAGGGGGUGUUAUAUGUUAAACAUGUUUAACAUAUACAUUUAUUGAAAAUUAUACUUUUACCCUGAAGGCAACAAUAAAGUUUAUUUUAUUGAAAGCCAUGCCCUAAGAGUCACGGCUAGGGUUUGGUUAGGGUAUGGUUUUCAACAAUAUUUUUUUCAUUAAGACUUUUUUACAGACUUAGUAAUUAAGGGUGCCUGAAAUACACUUCUGCCCAAUACAUUAUACUAAUCUAUCUUAAUACUGCAUCCUAAUACUUUUUUUGUAUAAUUGUUUAUCUUAGAAGCAGUACUAAAUGUCUUUCCGAAUGCUACCAGCUCAAAAGUACGAAUAGAAGUGAUGAACCAUUUAAAAUAUGCUGCAGAUUGUAAAAACCGGAAAACACUUCGGACAAGCACCAGUAAUGAUGUCAUGUCUAUCAGUUCGAAUUUCGCAGAAGAAGCCAGUAAAACAUAAUUUUUAUAUAAUUUUUUCACUGAGUUUUUUUUUUUUACUUCAAUAUAAUAAAGUCUUUAUAUUUAAACAUUUCUUUUGAAUUUCUUAAACACAAUAUUAAAUAAAUAUUAG
rnacentral:misc_RNA from 1 species